rnacentral:tRNA from 1 species
GGAGUGUUAGCAUAGUUGGUUAAUGCGCUACCCUGUCACGGUAGAGAUCACGGGUUCAAGUCCCGUACACUUCG